UGGAUUCUGGUCUGUGUGCUUAGAAAGACUC
rnacentral:piRNA from 1 species